rnacentral:rRNA from 1 species
UACGUAGGGGGCGAGCGUUGUCCGGAUUUAUUGGGCGUAAAGAGCUCGUAGGCGGCUUGUCGCGUCGGUUGUGAAAGCCCGGGGCUUAAACUCCGGGGUCUGCAGUCGAUACGGGCAGGCUAGAGUUCGGUAGGGGAGAGUCGGAAUUCCUGGUGUAGCGGUGAAAUGCGCAGAUAUCAGGAGGAGCACCGAUUGCGAAGGCAGCUCGCUGGGACGUUACUGACGCUGAGACGCGAAAGCGUGGGGAGCAAACAGG